GAUGAACGCUAGCUACAGGCUUAACACAUGCAAGUCGAGGGGAAACAAUAUUGAAAGCUUGCUUUCGAUAGGCGUCGACCGGCGCACGGGUGAGUAACGCGUAUCCAACCUGCCUGGAAAUAGGGAAUAAUCCGUGGAAACGCGGCCUAAUGUCCUAUGUGCUCCGAAGAGGACAUCUGAUUUGGAGUAAAGAUUCAUCGUUUCCGGAUGGGGAUGCGUCUGAUUAGCUUGCUGGCGGGGUAACGGCCCACCAGGGCGACGAUCAGUAGGGGUUCUGAGAGGAAGGUCCCCCCACAUUGGAACUGAGACACGGUCCAAACUCCUACGGGAGCAGCAGUGAGGAAUAUUGGGUCAAUGGGCGAGAGCCUGAACCAGCCAAGUAGCGUGCAGGAUGACGG
rnacentral:rRNA from 1 species